AGAGUCGCCCGGAUCACUGCGUUACUUAAGAGCCUAAUUAACUUUUAAGCACCGAGGAAAGUCCGGACUCCAAUGGGCAAAGUUGUGGGUAACUCCCACCCGGAGCGAUCCGCGGGAUUAGUGCAACAGAGAGUAAACCGCCAAUAGCAAUAUUGGUAAGGGUGAAACGGUGG
rnacentral:RNase_P_RNA from 1 species